GCCAGCAUGGUGUAGUGGUUUGUGUGUUAGGCUAAGACUCUAGAAAACCAGGGUUCAAAUCCCCAUAACUGGCC